rnacentral:ncRNA from 1 species
CGAGACCGAUAGCGAACAAGUACCGUGAGGGAAAGUUGAAAAGCACUUUGGAGAGAGAGUUAAAAAGUACGUGAAACCGUCGAGAGGCAAACGGGAGGGCCUGUCGGGUCGUUCGGUCGCUUUCAGGCGGGCCGGAGACCGGGUCGCGGGAUCGGGGACCUUCGCGGGCCUCGACUCGCGUCGCCGGCCGACGGCUCGGCGCACUAGCGUCGGACGAGGGCCGCGACCGGCUGGGCGGCGGGCAAACGGCUCCGGGCAAGGUAACCCCGCUUCGGCGGGGUGCUACAGGCCCGGUGCGCGCAAGGGUCGCCGCCCGGUCGAGGAGAGAUGCGCGCCGCACCUGCCCCGUUCGCGGGGCCGGGGAAGCCGUUCGAGCAGCGUCGUGUCGCGGUCCGGGACUGUCCUCAGUCCCGGGUCGUCUCGGCGCGGUUCCGAGCGGUCGCUCCCUCGCGAGGUGCCGCGGGUCAGCGGCUGACGCCAGCCACCUUCCCGACCCGUCUUGAAACACGGACCAAGGAGUCUAACAUGUGCGCGAGCCGCGGGGCAGUACGAAACCCGUAAGGCGAAAUGAAGGUGAACGCCGGCGCGGUCCGGCGGAGGUUGGAUCCCGUCCCGUCGGGGCGGGCGCACUACCGGCCGAUCUUCUCCGCCCUGUCGGCGAGGUCGAGCGAGAGCGUGCAAGUCGGAAUCGAAA